UGCGCCUUGCCAGCCCGCUCAGAAACUCAAAGGAAUUGACGGGGGCCCGCACAAGCGGUGGAGCAUGUGGUUUAAUUCGAUGGUACGCGAGAAACCUUACCAGGGCUUGACAUACACCGGAAGCGCCGUGAAAGCGGCGUGCCGCUUGCGGCCGGUGAACAGGUGCUGCAUGGCUGUCGUCAGCUCGUGCUGUGAAGUGUUGGGUUAAGUCCCGUAACGAGCGCAACCCCUACUGCUAGUUGCCAGCGGGUCAUGCCGGGGACUCUAGCGGAACUGCCAGCGUAAGCUGCGAGGAAGGUGGGGAUGACGUCAAAUCAGCACGGCCCUUACGUCCAGGGCUACACACGUGUUACAAUGGCCGGUACAGAGGGCAGCCACCCCGCGAGGGGGCGCGAAUCCCGAAAGCCGGUCCCAGUUCGGAUCGGAGUCUGCAACCCGACUCCGUGAAGCUGGAUUCGCUAGUAAUCGCGCAUCAGCCACGGCGCGGUGAAUACGUUCCCGGGCCUU
rnacentral:rRNA from 1 species